AGUCUCGCUCUGUCUCCCAGGCUGGAGUGCAGUGGCGCGAUCUCGACUCACUGCAACCUCUGUCUCCUGGGUUCAAGCAAUUCUCCUGCUUCAGCCUCCCGAGGAGCUGGGACUACAGGAUGUCUGAAUUCAGAGUUCUGCGCGUGCUCUACACAACUCCUCCUGCUUGGAAUUGCAAUUACCCCACAUCUCUCUAAUACAUUAGGUGCCCUGUUUUUAAA
rnacentral:lncRNA from 1 species